GAUGAACGCUGGCGGCGUGCCUAAUACAUGCAAGUCGAGCGAACAGACGAGGAGCUUGCUCCUCUGACGUUAGCGGCGGACGGGUGAGUAACACGUGGAGAACCUAGCUAUAAGACUGGGAUAACUUCGGGAAACCGGAGCUAAUACCGGAUAAUAUAUUGAACCGCAUGGAUCAAUAGUGAAAGACGGUUUUGCUGUCACUUAUAGAUGGAUCCGCGCCGCAUUAGCUAGUUGGUAAGGUAACGGCUUACCAAGGCAACGAUGCGUAGCCGACCUGAGAGGGUGAUCGGCCACACUGGAACUGAGACACGGUCCAGACUCCUACGGGAGGCAGCAGUAGGGAAUCUUCCGCAAUGGGCGAAAGCCUGACGGAGCAACGCCGCGUGAGUGAUGAAGGUCUUCGGAUCGUAAAGCUCUGUUAUCAGGGAAGAACAAAUGUGUAAGUAACUAUGCACGUCUUGACGGUACCUAAUCAGAAAGCCACGGCUAACUACGUG
rnacentral:rRNA from 1 species